GAUGAACGCUGGCGGCGUGCCUAAUAUAUGCAAGUCGAGCGAACGGACGAGAAGCUUGCUUCUCUGAUGUUAGCGGCGGACGGGUGAGUAACACGUGGAUAACCUACCUAUAAGACUGGGAUAACUUCGGGAAACCGGAGCUAAUACCGGAUAAUAUUUUGAACCGCAUGGUUCAAAAGUGAAAGACGGUCUUGCUGUCACUUAUAGAUGGAUCCGCGCUGCAUUAGCUAGUUGGUAAGGUAACGGCUUACCAAGGCAACGAUGCAUAGCCGACCUGAGAGGGUGAUCGGCCACACUGGAACUGAGACACGGUCCAGACUCCUACGGGAGGCAGCAGUAGGGAAUCUUCCGCAAUGGGCGAAAGCCUGACGGAGCAACGCCGCGUGAGUGAUGAAGGUCUUCGGAUCGUAAAACUCUGUUAUUAGGGAAGAACAUAUGUGUAAGUAACUGUGCACAUCUUGACGGUACCUAAUCAGAAAGCCACGGCUAACUACGUGCCAGCAGCCGCGGUAAUACGUAGGUGGCAAGCGUUAUCCGGAAUUAUUGGGCGUAAAGCGCGCGUAGGCGGUUUUUUAAGUCUGAUGUGAAAGCCCACGGCUCAACCGUGGAGGGUCAUUGGAAACUGGAAAACUUGAGUGCAGAAGAGGAAAGUGGAAUUCCAUGUGUAGCGGUGAAAUGCGCAGAGAUAUGGAGGAACACCAGUGGCGAAGGCGACUUUCUGGUCUGUAACUGACGCUGAUGUGCGAAAGCGUGGGGAUCAAACAGGAUUAGAUACCCUGGUAGUCCACGCCGUAAACGAUGAGUGCUAAGUGUUAGGGGGUUUCCGCCCCUUAGUGCUGCCGCUAACGCAUUAAGCACUCCGCCUGGGGAGUACGACCGCAAGGUUGAAACUCAAAGGAAUUGACGGGGACCCGCACAAGCGGUGGAGCAUGUGGUUUAAUUCGAAGCAACGCGAAGAACCUUACCAAAUCUUGACAUCCUUUGACAACUCUAGAGAUAGAGCCUUCCCCUUCGGGGGACAAAGUGACAGGUGGUGCAUGGUUGUCGUCAGCUCGUGUCGUGAGAUGUUGGGUUAAGUCCCGCAACGAGCGCAACCCUUAAGCUUAGUUGCCAUCAUUAAGUUGGGCACUCUAAGUUGACUGCCGGUGACAAACCGGAGGAAGGUGGGGAUGACGUCAAAUCAUCAUGCCCCUUAUGAUUUGGGCUACACACGUGCUACAAUGGACAAUACAAAGGGCAGCGAAACCGCGAGGUCAAGCAAAUCCCAUAAAGUUGUUCUCAGUUCGGAUUGUAGUCUGCAACUCGACUACAUGAAGCUGGAAUCGCUAGUAAUCGUAGAUCAGCAUGCUACGGUGAAUACGUUCCCGGGUCU
rnacentral:rRNA from 1 species